rnacentral:rRNA from 1 species
GGAAUCUUGCACAAUGGGGGAAACUCUGAUGCAGCGAUGCCGCGUGAGUGAAGAAGGCCUUUGGGUUGUAAAGCUCUUUUGUAGGGGAAGAUAAUGACUGUACCCUAAGAAUAAGGUCCGGCUAACUUCGUGCCAGCAGCCGCGGUAAUACGAAGGGACCUAGCGUAGUUCGGAAUUACUGGGCGUAAAGCGCGCGUAGGCCGUUGAGUUAGUUAAUUGUGAAAUCCCAAAGCUUAACUUUGGAACUGCAAUUAAAACUGCUCGACUAGAGUUUGAUAGAGGAAAGCGGAGUACAUAGUGUAGAGGUGAAAUUCGUAGAUAUUAUGUAGAACACCAGUUGCGAAGGCGGCUUUCUGGAUCAACACUGACGCUGAGGCGCGAAAGUAUGGGUAGCAAAGAGGAUUAGAUACCCUCGUAGUCCAUACCAUAAACGAUGAUUGCUAGAUGUUGGAAAUUUAUUUUCAGUAUCGCAGCUAACGCAUUAAGCAAUCCGCCUGGGGAGUACGACCGCAAGGUUAAAACUCAAAUGAAUUGACGG